UCCAUUGGUUUAUUUGUCUGUCUUUGUACCAGUAUCAUGCUGUUUUGGUUACUGUAGUGCUAUAGUUUGAAGUCGGGUAGCAUGAUGCCUUGGCUAUACAAGCUCUUUUUUGGUUUUAUAUGUUUUAGAGAGGCAUGAGAUAUCAAUCAAUAUAUCCAGAUGUACAUUGGUUCCAUCUGGAAAGGCGGGAAAACUUGAAGCAGGGAGGGCCUUCCAGGUCACAGGUUGAUUCUAAGGAAGCCAACAGCCGUGUUGUGAGUACCCAAUGGAAAGUCUGUUGUGGCAGAAAACUGAUGUCUCCAGCCAACAGCACUGAGGCCCUGAGACCUGCCAACUGUCAUGUUACAUCUCAAGGAGAAGGAUUGCCAGAUCAAAAGUCUUGCAGUUAACCAGGCGUGGUGGCAGAUACCUGUAAUCCCAGCUAUUCGGGAGGCUGAGGCAGGAGAAUCGCUUGUACCCGGGAGGCAGAGGUUGCAGUGAGCUGAGACCGCGCCAUUGACUCCUGCCUGAUGACAAGAGAGAAUCUACGUCUCAACAACAACAACACGCUUGGGCACUGUAUUAACUCCAUAAUCGGGUUGACUUAUAGAACUGCAUCACCCAUACCUCCCUGUCUUCUGGCUUCGGAUCAGAUUCACCCAAUAGGACUCUAGCAAAUUAUCAGAAGACAAGAGG
rnacentral:lncRNA from 10 species